GACGUAGGGCGCGAGCGUUGUCCGGAUUUAUUGGGCGUAAAGAGCUCGUAGGCGGCUUGUCGCGUCGUCCGUGAAAACCUGGGGCUCAACCCCAGGCUUGCGGUCGAUACGGGCAGGCUCGAGUUCGGUAGGGGAGACUGGAAUUCCUGGUGUAGCGGUGAAAUGCGCAGAUAUCAGGAGGAACACCGGUGGCGAAGGCGGGUCUCUGGGCCGUAACUGACGCUGAGGAGCGAAAGCAUGGGGAGCGAACAGG
rnacentral:rRNA from 1 species